rnacentral:rRNA from 1 species
GACGAACGCUGGCGGCGUGCUUAACACAUGCAAGUCGAACGAAGUGGCGAACGGGUGAGUAACGCGUAAUCAACCUGCCCUUCAGAGGGGGACAACAGUUGGAAACGACUGCUCAUACCGCAUACUGAAGGAGGGGAUUGCGUCUGAUUAGCUAGUUGGAGGGGAAAUGGCCCACCAAGGCGAUGAUCAGUAGCCGGCCGGGUGCGAUGAACCGCACCAUUGGGACUGAGACACGGCCCACGCCCCUGCGGGGGGCAGCAGGGGGGAACCGUCCGCAAUGGAGGAAAGGCUGCCGGCGCAAACCCGUGUGGGUUGUGAAGGCCUUCGGGUGGUAAAGCUCUGUUAAUCGGGUCGCGGUACCGGCAUAGAAAGCCACGGCUAACUACGUGCCAGCAGCCGCGGUAAUUC